rnacentral:rRNA from 1 species
UACGGAGGGUGCAAGCGUUAAUCGGAAUUACUGGGCGUAAAGCGCACGCAGGUGGCUGAGUCAGUCGAUUGUGAAAGCCCUGGGCUUAACCUGGGAAUUGCAGUCGAUACUACUCAGCUAGAGUAUGGGAGAGGGUAGUGGAAUUCCCGGUGUAGCGGUGAAAUGCGCAGAUAUCGGGAGGAACACCAAUGGCGAAGGCAGCUCGCUGGGACGGUACUGACGCUGAGGCGCGAAAGCGUGGGGAGCAAACAGG